AACAGCGAACCGCGAGGAGUCAGCAGAGGGCGUAGUAGCGGCGGCGCCAGCCGCGAAGGCC
rnacentral:ncRNA from 1 species